rnacentral:tRNA from 1 species
GGAGAGCGUCCGGAAGACGGACUGGGAGGGCAAGGUGGCGCUCAUCCAGGCGUGCCAGGCGAUGAAGAUCC